AAAUUUCUAGUAAAAGGAAAAUCCGUUGAUUUAAAAAAUCGUGAGGGUUCAAGCUAUCCCCA
rnacentral:tRNA from 1 species